rnacentral:rRNA from 1 species
AGAGUUUGAUCCUGGCUGAGAGUGAACGCUGGCGGCGUGCCUAACACAUGCAAGUCGAACGAGAACGGGUUUAGUUUACUAAACUGUCAGCUAAGUGGCGCACGGGUGAGUAAUAUAUAGUUAACCUGCCCCAAAGAAGAGAAUAAUUGUUGGAAACGACUUGUAAUGCUCUAUAUGCCUUUAAGACAUAAGUCUGCGAGGGAAAUAUUUAUAGCUUUGGGAUGGGACUGUACGGUAUCAGCUUGUUGGUGAGGUAAUGGCUCACCAAGGCUAUGACGCCUAACUGGUUUGAGAGGAUGAUCAGUCACACUGGAACUGAGACACGGUCCAGACUCCUACGGGAGGCAGCAGUGGGGAAUAUUGCACAAUGGAGGAAACUCUGAUGCAGCAACGCCGCGUGGAGGAUGACACAUUUCGGUGCGUAAACUCCUUUUAUAUGAGAAGAUAAUGACGGUAUCAUAUGAAUAAGCACCGGCUAACUCCGUGCCAGCAGCCGCGGUAAUACGGGGGGUGCAAGCGUUACUCGGAAUCACUGGGCGUAAAGAGCAUGUAGGCUGGUUUGUAAGUUGGAAGUGAAAUCCUAUGGCUUAACCAUAGAACUGCUUCCAAAACUGCAGACCUAGAAUAUGGGAGAGGUAGAUGGAAUUUCUGGUGUAGGGGUAAAAUCCGUAGAGAUCAGAAGGAAUACCGAUUGCGAAGGCGAUCUACUGGAACAUUAUUGACGCUGAGAUGCGAAAGCGUGGGGAGCAAACAGGAUUAGAUACCCUGGUAGUCCACGCCCUAAACGAUGCACACUAGUUGUUGCUAUGCUAGACAUAGCAGUAAU